UACCAGCACCCCGAGUGGUCGGGACGUUUAUUGGGCCUAAAGCAUCCGUACCCGGUUCUACAAGUCUUCCGUUAAAUCCACCUGCUUAACAGAUGGGCUGCGGAAGAUACUAUGGAGCUAGGAGGCGGGAGAGGCAAGCGGUACUCGAUGGGUAGGGGUAAAAUCCGUUGAUCCAUUGAAGACCACCAGUGGCGAAGGCGGCUUGCCAGAACGCGCUCGACGGUGAGGGAUGAAAGCUGGGGGAGCAAACCGG
rnacentral:rRNA from 1 species